GAUGAACGCUGGCGGCGUGCCUAAUACAUGCAAGUCGAGCGAACAGACGAGGAGCUUGCUCCUCUGACGUUAGCGGCGGACGGGUGAGUAACACGUGGAUAACCUACCUAUAAGACUGGGAUAACUUCGGGAAACCGUAGCUAAUACCGGAUAAUAUAUUGAACCGCAUGGUUCAAUAGUUAAAGACGGUUUUGCUUUCACUUAUAGAUGGAUCCGCACCGCAUUAGCUAGUUGGUAAGGUAACGGCUUACCAAGGCAACGAUGCGUAGCCGACCUGAGAGGGUGAUCGGAGACACGGGAACUGAGACACGGUACAGACACCUGCGGGAGGAAGCAGUAGAGAAUCUUACGCGAGGGACGAGAGCCUGACGGAGCAACGCCGCGUGAGUGAUGAAGGUCUAAGGAUCGUAAAGCUCUGUUAGUAGGGAGGAACAAAUGUGUAAGUAACUAUGAACGUAAUGACGGUACCGAAUCAAAAAGCCACGGCUAACUACGUG
rnacentral:rRNA from 1 species